rnacentral:misc_RNA from 1 species
GGAGGGAGUAUUUCUUAUCUCCAGUUGUUCGGGUAGUUGUCCACAUAUUUUAGUUGAGAACGUGUGUAUGAAGGUGGCGUAAUUAGUCGUCUAAAUGUCUAUUGAUUUAGCAAGUUGAGGAUAUGGGAAGCACCACAGCCAUAGCUAUUAGAGACAUAGACAUUUGGCUUUUGUCAACAAGUUCAUUUUCUUUAUAUUGAUGGAUCAACGAUCAUCACUGGCAUGCACAUGAUCUUUAAUUUGGCCUCUUUAAAAUUCUAUUUAUUUAUGCAUAAAUCAAG